GCUCGGAUGGCGGAAUUGGUAGACGCGCUGGAUUCAGGUUUCAGUAGGAGCAAUCCUGUGGGAGUUCAAAUCUCCCUUCGAGCA
rnacentral:tRNA from 1 species